rnacentral:lncRNA from 1 species
AAAAAAAAAAGCAGCAUAAAGAACAUAACAAAAUUUCAGCCUUAUAAAAUAUUUCCAGUCAGAUAGGAACGUAAGUGGAUAAACCACUGCAUCAGAAGAUCCCUGAGUGCCAAACAACUGGAAUCUGGCAAAGUAUACAGGACCUGUCAACGCCUAUGCAUGUGCUGCCUGCAUCCUUAUAGUCUGAAGCAAUUUGCAAGGAUGGAUUUCAAGAGCGCUGUUGAUGGAAAUAUUUGCAGCGGGAGAUAAAGAUUGGGACCAAAGCUAGAGUAGAUGCAGUUCCACUCGUUCCAUUUUUUGUUAUUUCCAUGCUCUGCUUUCUAUUCCCAUCCUGUUGACUAGAAGGCAUAUGCACUUUAACUGUAUUGCAGAAGAUAAAAAACAUACAAAAUAUGAUUUCUUCUCUAUAAACACUCAGUUACCCUAGAACUAACUGUUCAAUGUCUGCUUUUUCUUCUUUUUUUUUUUUUUCCUGUUUGAGAUUUUUUUUUUAAAGACGAAGACAAAGUAACUGUAUUCUUUUAGAACAAAAAUGAACAGCCGUGUGGAAUUUUUGCA